rnacentral:rRNA from 1 species
UACGUAGGGUGCAAGCGUUGUCCGGAUUUAUUGGGCGUAAAGAGCUCGUAGGCGGCUUGUUGCGUCGACUGUGAAAACCCGCGGCUUAACUGCGGGCUUGCAGUUGAUACGGGCAGGCUAGAGUUCGGUAGGGGAGACUGGAAUUCCUGGUGUAGCGGUGAAAUGCGCAGAUAUCAGGAGGAACACCGGUGGCGAAGGCGGGUCUCUGGGCCGAUACUGACGCUGAGGCACGAAGGCCAGGGGAGCAAACGGGG